rnacentral:rRNA from 1 species
AUUGGAGGGCAAGUCUGGUGCCAGCAGCCGCGGUAAUUCCAGCUCCAAUAGCGUAUAUUAAAGUUGUUGCGGUUAAAAAGCUCGUAGUUCGAGCUCAGUUCCGGACUGGCCGGGGAGGUCACCGCCCGGUGCUUCCCCGUCAGGCUCCGAACAGCUUCCGUGAGUGGAAGCCAAGCCGGUUCUGCCGGGGUGCUCUUUACCGAGUGUCCCGCGCGGCCGGCCAGUUCACCUUGAAUAAAUGAGAGUGCUCAAAGCAGGCUACUCUCGAAUACAAUGCCCGAAUGUUACCUGCAUGGAAUGAUGGAAGAUGAUCUCGGUUCCAUUUUCUUGGUGGUGGGAGCCAGAGGUAAUGAUAAACAGGGACUGUCGGGGGCAUCCGUACUACGACGCGAGAGGUGAAAUUCAGUGACCGUCGUAGGACGAACAACAGCGAAAGCAUUUGCCAAGAAUGUCUUCGUUGAUCAAGAACGAAAGUUAGAGGAUCGAAGGCGAUCAGAUACCGCCCUAGUUCUAACCCUAAACGAUGCUGACUAGCAAUUCGCCGUCGUUAUUCCCAUGACGUGGCGAGACGCCCCCGGGAAACCUCAAGUCUUUGAGUUCCGGGGGUAGUAUGGUUGCAAAACUGAAACUUAAAGGAAUUGACGGAAGGGCACCACCAGGAGUGGAGCCUGCG